rnacentral:rRNA from 1 species
GGGCCCGCACAAGCGGUGGAGCAUGUGGUUUAAUUCGAUGCAACGCGAAGAACCUUACCAUCCCUUGACAUCCAGAGAAGUUUCUAGAGAUAGAUUCGUGCCUUCGGGAACUCUGAGACAGGUGCUGCAUGGCUGUCGUCAGCUCGUGUUGUGAAAUGUUGGUUAAGUCCCGCAACGAGCGCAACCCUUAUCCUUAGUUGCUAACAGUUUGGCUGAGAACUCUAAGGAGACUGCCGGUGACAAACCGGAGGAAGGUGGGGACGACGUCAAGUCAUCAUGGCCCUUACGGGAUGGGCUACACACGUGCUACAAUGGCAAGUACAAAGGGUUGCAAACUCGCGAGAGUAAG